GAGGAGGGGCUUGCCACAGGAAGGGGAUGGCAGGUACGAUAACAAGGUUGGAAGGAGAAAGAGGUGUGGCUGGGAAGGAGAUCCACAUAACUGAAGACAAGAGUGAGAGUUGGAAGAAUUAAAGAGAUGUCAGAGACCAGAGGAUGUGAAUGUCUUCUUUCAUGUGAGUGUAAAAUUAGGUGGCGGUGACCAGACAAUAUCAGAAUGCCAAGGCCCCAGUUCUCUGGGCAAUUACAAAUGCUGACGCUGAAGGCCUGAUCUCAGAUAAUGAGAUACCACAUGUGUUAGGGAAGUUAUGAAACUCCUAUGUGGACCUGGAACAGAGACCAGUGAUACCACAAUUACCUUGGAAGAAAGAUUGAGAGUCCCAACAUAAAAGGGAUUCCAGCAAACUUUGAUUAAUGAAACAUCCAGCCUCUCAGGACAGGUAUAGAAGGCUAGAAAACUCCUCUUGGAAAACAACCCAGCAGAAGAGGACAGCAGAAAGCUUUUUCGGCCCUGGGGAUCUGACUCAAGAGGUGCACAGCCAAUACCCCUCACACUGAGGAGUAGAGAGAACCCACUCUCAGUUCCCCCGAGUUCCAGGAGCAGUGAAAUCACUAAAGAAGAAUAGAUGUGUCCAUCAAGAUGGCAAAACUGAGGCUGAGAGAAGUUAUACUUGACCAGAGUCACACAGCUAAUACAUGUUGAAACCAGGAUUUAAACACAGAUCUGUAUUGACCCAAAGCCCCGGUUUUCAGAAAAGCUCUGUGCCCAGAUACUCUGUUUGUCAUCUCUAGUUGUUGUGGAAUCUAGGAAAAGGCACAGAAAUGCCAUGUCAGAGCAAUUGCAUUUGGGAUUCAAUGUACUCUCAGCUGUGCACUGACGGCUUCCUCACCUACCGUUAUGAAGUCCUUUUGCUGGCAGUGAUUACAGAAGACGGUGACAUCGAAGAAGAGGCUCUGUCUGAAUUUGGGAGGCCUAAUAAAAAAAAAAAGGAAAUUGGAGAAAGAAACUUCUAUAGCAUUAAAAACUUGGAAAUGUUCUGGGGGUAUCAUCCACCCACCACUUUCAUUUUGCAGAUGGGAAAAUGGAUGAAGAGAGAACAUGUCCCCGCCUCCGAGAGGGAGAGGGAACAGCCCUAAAGAAUGAGACAGAGUCCUUGGCUUGUAGACUCAGACCAUUCCAAAAGAUCUAUAAGGUUGUUCGACUUCACUUGAACAGUAUUUGUUUUCUCUUUACUUCAGCAGUUCACUGCCAGGUGGAGUUGAGCAUGGGUGAUGCAAUGUAUAAGGGACCUGAAGCCUGAUCAUGUUGUAAUCAUGUCAUACACUAUGUCACUCUGGAUGGACCAAGCUUACCCAAGACAUACCUGCCUUGAUACUCACUCCAGAAGACAAGUCUGGUUGGUUGCGAGAUUUGAUGAGGGUUAGUAGGUAUCAUGUAGGGCUCCUGAUAUCUGAAAGUGAUUGACACUGCUCAUUCUCACAUUGUCAGUAAUUCGUAGUGUGUUCUGCAUCUAGCACAUUCAUGUUUAGAAAAACAAGGGAAACAAAUUUUUUCUUCUCCUUCAGAUUUCUUUAAUUUAAAUGUUUUGGGAAAAUAUUGGCUUUCUUCCUCAAUUCUUCAGCUGUUGUCUACCGCAAUGAAUCAGCUUCAAUUUCUCGAGUCACAUUAUUUCUUUUUUCUUUCCAAAAUAAUGGAAGAAUGUGAGUCCUCCCAGGCACAUCACACUAAGAAAUAUCAGGAACAAAAUGGACAAAAUGGUUUCUGUGAAGGAAUUAAUGGCUGAUAUUUAUAAUAUGCUUACGAUGUGUUAGGCACAUGGAUGUAUUUUAGGUUUUAACAUGAUGUUUGCCUCCUCAACUAUUCUGCUCUGUUUGGAAAUUCAUCAAGACUUUCAUAGUUGAGUUCUAUUCAUCCCAGAGAGGUUCGGUGUCCCUGGUCCAAUGCCAUUGUGUUUACCAUCACAGGGUUUAUAGCGUGAAAUUCUUUCCCAUGUCUUCCUUUGCAUUUGCAUCUUGAACUUACAAACUGAUCACAUUCCCUGAUAUUUAAGAUGGUCUUCUCCUUCAUUACAUGCAAUUAUUUCUCUCUGAAUUUUGCACCUUUUGAUAUUGAAAGCAUCUUUAUUAAACAGGCAGAUUUGAAAAAUUUUAAACAGACAUUGAAAAUAAUUUUUUAAAAUUCCUUUUUAAUUUCAUGAAGUGCUCUUUCACCUUUUAGCCAGUAGUUGUCAUCACCUAGACUAUUUUGGAGUACACAACAAAAAGUAGGCAGAUGUCAGAAAAUAAAAUGGUAACCCAAGUUUGAAGGUUAAUGUCUAGAAUGCAUUUUGAAAACAAGCAAGACACCCAAUACUCAAACUUGAAUUCUACUGAGCUACUUUUAUAACUUACAGAGCACCUUCAUUUCCUCUUAACUCAGCCUUAAAGCCUACUCCCCUCCCACCUGCUUAUACAGAGUUGACUACCACUGAGAUUCCUGCUGAGAUGUUUCUGUUUUGGGAUCUGACUUGCUGCUGAGCUUGUCAAUAGCUCAUCUCUUACUGGGUCUUGUGUCUUCCAUAUCAGCCCUACCCCUGAUAAUUCAUCAGCUUAUCUGCCCUCUGAUCCUCUGAAAGGAUCAAGGAAGGGGGAGAGGAAGAAAGGAAAGCCCCAGCUGAUGUCUAUGCUCAUCAAUCCUGGCAAGCCCUUCUCCCUAAACAUAAAAUCACUUACCACUAGUGUUUCCUAAAAUGAAUCUCAAGGUUAAUAGUUUUAUUUAUUUAUUUUGUAAGUUUUCCAAUCAAAUAAAUUUUGGGAACUGCUGACUUAAAAUUAAAUGAGUUUCUUUAUUGAAGACCUUCUCUAAGCUUUUAAUAUGUUAAAUUGCACUGUGAAUCUCUUAGAGGGCGAUGUAGAAUACAGUGUUUCCCAAACUCGUUUUACCGCAAAGCAUUUUUUUUUUCUGGGAGCAUAGUUUUGAGACUGUUUUAUGGAAUAUAACUUGUUAAAACUCAUUUUGAUUUUUCUCUUUUCUUUAGCUCAGUGUUUUCCAAACUUCAGUCAUUCAAUUAUCACCAUCAUAAUUUUUGCCAACAAUUUUCUUUAUAUCAACUCACUUUUUUACUUAAAUAAAUUUAUUUGAAAAGGAAAUGACUGUAAAUAUAAAAUAAGAAUUACUUGCCAUAAAUGGAAAAUAACAAUGAAAAUAAGUAGAAUGAAGUAAUAUUGUUAAU
ensembl:lncRNA